UCCCUCUUAGCUCAGUGGUAGAGCGCGUCACUAGUAAGUGCUGGAGCAGAAUCAGCAGAUGAUGUUCCCCUUAUCCAUGACGAGGUCAGUCGUUCAAGUCGGCUAGAGGGAA